CAUUGUUGAGCCUAUGUUACUACUGCUGGCUAGCAAACACGCCAUGUCGUGUCUGAUCUGUUUGAGACAACCCGCUCACUUCCGUUGGUUGUGCGCCCGAACGUCCGAGAGGGAGAGAGGGAUCGCUUGGUGGCUACAAUGGAAGAAUGACCACAGCAACCCUUUCAACCUUCAUAGCAUGCAGAAUCAGGUGAGGAAGCUGAGUGACACAGACAAGAUGUUUCCCAGUGGAGCGAUGAACAACACCAGACGCACCUGAGGAGCAGAAAAGCCAAGAGUGGCAAUUACAGCUAAAUACCAGCUGUUCCAGGAUUCCCAUCAACAUCUGGAGCCACUGGAGCAAUCCUCAUUACCUGGCGCUACUGGUGUCUGAGAGGCAGGAAGGAUUAUCGGAAGCUGUGGGAGGACAGGACAAAAAGAAUGCGAGGAAACUGCCUGAAUAGCAAGAGGUUGGUGAAGAUGCUGGUGCUGGAGAUGGACCAGUGGUAAAGGACACCGACCAGUGAUGUUGAGACACGGGUUUAAACCCAGCCUGAGGUACCCCGUCUCACACAAGUGUGUGUAUGUGUGGGUGUUUGUGUGUGUGUACUUUCAUUUGUCUGCUCCAAAUAACAAAAAUUUCAA